CGAGAAGAUCGGCCUGUUGACCCCUUUACAGGGGUAGGAAAGUCCGGACACCACAGAGCAGCAAAGCGGAUAACAUCCGUCACCCGUGAGGGUAGGACAAGUGCAACAGAAAGCAGGUACAGUUCGGCUGUAGUGAAACCAGGUAAACUCUUUGCGGUGCAAUGGUAAGUAUAUCGGUUCUUUCCGGCAAUGGAAAUAGGAGUGGCUCGCUCCGAAAGCCGAGGGGUAAUCAGCUCAAGUUUUGCAGCAAUGUAAGACGCAGAUAAAUAACAGGCACUUCCCAGGAAGUACAGAAUCCGGCUUACAGAUUUUCUCGUGGU
rnacentral:RNase_P_RNA from 1 species